AAUCAAGCGCAAAAGGGCAUUUAGUGGAUGCCUUGGCAUCAAGAGACGAUGAAGGACGUGGCAGGCUGCGAUAAGCUAAGGGGAGUUGUCAACAAACUUUGAUCCUUAGAUAUCCGAAUGGGGA
rnacentral:rRNA from 1 species